rnacentral:rRNA from 1 species
CUCCGGUUGAUCCUGCCGGACCUGACUGCUAUCGGAUUGGUACUAAGCCAUGCGAGUCGUUGUAGCAAUACAAGGCGGACGGCUCAGUAACACGUAGUCAACCUAACCUAUGGACGUGGAUAACCUCGGGAAACUGAGAAUAAACCGCGAUAGAUCAUUAUGCCUGGAAUGGCUUAUGGUUCAAACAAUUUAUUGCCGUAGGAUGGGACUGCGGCCUAUCAGCUUGUUGGUGAGGUAAUGGCCCACCAAGGCUAUAACAGGUACGGGCUCUGAGAGGAGAAGCCCGGAGAUGGGUACUGAGACACGGACCCAGGCCCUAUGGGGCGCAGCAGGCGAGAAACCUUAGCAAUGUGCGAAAGCACGACUAGGUUAAUCCGAGUGAUUUCUGUUGAAGAAAUCUUUUGUCAGUCGUAAAACCACAGACGAAUAAGGGGUGGGCAAGUCUGGUGUCAGCCGCCGCGGUAAUACCAGCACCUCGAGUGGUCAGGAGGUUUAUUGGGCCUAAAGCAUCCGUAGCCGGCUACGCAAGUCUCCGGUUAAAUCCAGCUGCUCAACAGAUGGGCUGCCGGAGAUACUACAUAGCUAGGGAGCGGGAGAGGUAGACGGUAUUCUGUGGGUAGGGGUAAAAUCCACUGAUCCAUAGAGGACCACCAGUGGCGAAGGCGGUCUACCAGAACGCGUUCGACGGUGAGGGAUGAAAGCUGGGGGAGCAAACCGGAUUAGAUACCCGGGUAGUCCCAGCUGUAAACGAUGCAAACUCGGUGAUGCAUUGGCUUAUGGCCAAUGCAGUGCCGCAGGGAAGCCGUUAAGUUUGCCGCCUGGGAAGUACGGACGCAAGUCUGAAACUUAAAGGAANUUUGGCGGGGAGCA